UAACGUGUAGCUCAGAGGUAGAGCGCCUUAAUCAGGAGGUCGCCGGUUCGAAUCCGGUCACGUCAA
rnacentral:tRNA from 1 species